GAUGAACGCUGGCGGCGUGCCUAAUACAUGCAAGUCGAGCGAACAGACGAGGAGCUUGCUCCUCUGAUGUUAGCGGCGGACGGGUGAGUAACACGUGGAUAACCUACCUAUAAGACUGGGAUAACUUCGGGAAACCGGAGCUAAUACCGGAUAACAUGUUGAACCGCAUGGUUCAACAGUGAAAGACGGUCUUGCUGUCACUUAUAGAUGGAUCCGCGCCGCAUUAGCUAGUUGGUAAGGUAACGGCUUACCAAGGCAACGAUGCGUAGCCGACCUGAGAGGGUGAUCGGCCACACCGGAACUGAGACACGGUCCAGACUCCUACGGGAGGCAGCAGUAGGGAAUCUUCCGCAAUGGGCGAAAGCCUGACGGAGCAACGCCGCGUGAGUGAAGAAGGUCUUCGGAUCGUAAAACUCUGUUAUUAGGGAAGAACAAAUGUGUAAGUAACUAUGCACGUCUUGACGGUACCUAAUCAGAAAGCCACGGCUAACUACGUG
rnacentral:rRNA from 1 species